rnacentral:lncRNA from 1 species
UUACAGAAAAAGAAAAGCUGAAACCUUUCAAAACCUCCCCAACGAUCGGCCUCCCACCACCAUUUGCACAUCCGCCGCACCGCCACCAGAUCGACGGCCAACGAAGCGCGAUAACGGGUUUUUAAAGCCCCCUGGUGAGUUUCUCUUUUUCUCUUUUUAUUUUCGUUUUAAGAAAUAAAAAUAAAAAUAAGCAAAACGAUAAGAAAUAGGAAAAAAACGAAAGAUUCAAAUCAAAAACCAGGAAAUCACCUUGGUUUUCUUUGCUCUUUAUUUCUUAGUAUUCAUGAAAAAGAAGGGGCAAAGAAAUCGAAAAAAUGGCUUUUUAUAGCCGAGUAUUACAAUCGUUCUUUUUCUUUUUUCAUUUCUCUGUUGUUUCUUCUUUUUUUGCCCUGGUUGUUGCGUGUUUGGUUUUAGUUUUGCAGGUGCUACAGGUGCAAGUGGGUGAGGGGACGUGCGGCGCAGUGGCAGUGCUGGCAUGGUAGAGGUUAGGGCGGCGGCAAAGGCUAGGGUUAGGGGCUAGGGUUUUUCUUUUGUUUUUUCUGAAAAUGGGUAUUGGGUUUUGAUAAUUGGGCUAGGUUUGGGUUGUAUUUGGGUUUGGUUUAAUUUAGGCUUAUUGGGCUACUUGGGCUGUUAUUUGGUGAGGCCCGGGCAAAAAUUUGGGCUCUACAGCUGCCCCUCUUUGCUUCAUUGUCGUGUAAUGGGAAUGAAGCAAAGAUUAAGACCAAAUUUUCCCGGUCUCGCCAAACCUUGACUUUUUUGACGCUUCUCUUCAAGUAGCUUCACUCUAGUCCACUGUGUCUUGUUGCGUCGAUCCACUCCACUGCAACUUCAAAAAAACAAGACUUGAAGCUUCAAUCCACUCUGUUGUAACUUCAGGGGGACGAGAUUUGUGGUUUUUGUCUACUUCACAUCUUUGAUCUGCUCCACUACUGCUUAGGGGGACAGAAUCUGCAAUCUUCAAUCUGCUCCACCUUAGGAGAUAAGAUCUGAAAUUUUCAAUCUAUUCCACUGUAAUCUCAGGGAAAUAAGACCUGAUGCGAUCUACUCUGCUGUAACUUCAGAGAGAUAAGAUCCUUCAUUUUAAUCCACUCCACUGUAAUCUCAGGGAGAUAGGAUUACUAACUUCAAUCUGCUCCGCUGUAAUCUCAGGGAGAUAAGAUCUGACACGAUCUACUCUACUGUAACUUCAGAGAGAUAAGAUCCUUUAUUUUAAUCCGCUCCACUGUAAUCUCAAGGAGAUAGGAUUACUAGCUUCAAUCUGCUCCGCUGUAAUCUCAGGGAGAUAAGAUCUGAAAUUCUUCGGUCUGUUCCACUGCAAUCUCAGGGAAAUAAGACCUGAUGUGAUCUACUCUACUGUAACUUCAGAGAGAUAAGAUCAUUUAUUUUAAUCCGCUCCACUGUAAUCUCAGGGAGAUAAGAUUACUAGCUUAAAUCUGCUCCGCUGUAAUCUCAGGGAGAUAAGAUCUGAAAUUCUUCGGUCUGUUCCACUGUAAUCUCAGGGAAAUAAGACCUGAUGCGAUCUACUCUGCUGUAACUUCAGAGAGAUAAGAUCAUUGGUUUUAAUCCGCUCCACUGUAAUCUCAGGGAGAUAGGAUUACCAGCUUCAAUCUAAUGCGAUCUACUCUGCUGUAACUUCAGAGAGAUAAGAUCUUUUAUUUCAAUCCGCUCCACUGUAACUUCAGGGAGAUAGGAUAGUGUCUUCAAUCUACUCCGCUGUAAUCUGAGGGAGAUAAGAUCUGAAAUUCUUCAACCAGCUCCACUAUAACUGAGAGAGGUAAGGUUUGUCUUCGACCUGCUUCGCUGUCAAUGCAAGAAUGCAAGAUCUCUUGUCUUCAACCAGCUCCAUCACAACCGAGAGAGGCAAGGUUUGUAUCUUCGACCUGUUUCGCUGUCAAUGUAGGAAGGCAAGAUCUGUUGUCUUCAACCAGCUCCAUCACAACCGAUGAAGGCAAUGCUUGUUUUCGAUCUGCUUCGCUGUUAAUGCAAGAAGGCAAGAUCUUUUGUCUUCAACCAGCUCCAUCACAACCGAGAGAGGCAAGGCUUGUUUUCGAUCUGCUUCGCUGUUAAUGCAAGAAAGCAAGAUCUUUUGUCUUCAAUCAACUCCAUCACAAUCGAAAGAGGCAACGUUUGUGUCUUCGAUCUGCUUCGCUGUCAAUGCAGGAAGGCAAGAUCUUUUGUCUUUAACCAGCUCCACUACAACCGAGAGAGGCAAGGUUUGUGUCUUCGACCUGCUUCGCUGUCAAUGCAGGAAGGCAAGAUCUGCUUCUUUAACCAGCUCCACUGUAACCAAUGAAGGCAAGGCUUAUUUUCGAUCUGCUUCGUUGUUAACGCAGGAAGGCAAGAUCUACCUCUUUAACCAGCUCCACUGCAACCAAUGAAGGCAAGGCUUUGUUUUCGAUCUGCUUCACUGUUAACGCAGGAAGGCAAGAUCUGCUUCUUUAACCAGCUCCACUGCAACCAAUGAAGGCAAGGCUUUGUUUUCGAUCUGCUUCGCUGUUAACGCAGGAAGGCAAGAUCUAAUUCUUUAACCUGUAUGUUCUAUUCUAUGAACCUAAUUGUGCCUAGUGAUUAGGAUGACAUGAUCAGAAUGAAUCAAAUGCUCCUAACUGGAUGUGUAUGCAAAAUGUCAUGAAGAUGAUUCCUUAAUGCUUAGGUUAUCAUCACGCAAAAGCUUAUUAAGGUUUUAUCACUGACUUGCUACAACGCCUUCUUGCUCGACAGGCGUAUCCAAAGAAACACUUAAUUUGAUUACCCCCAGUGUGAUCUUCAAACUUCAAUCCACUGGGAUGCAAAAUUUGUACCAUCAAUCUCCCACUGUAACCCAAGGGUAGAAAGGUAUGGCUUUUCUCAAUCUUCUCCUAUCGCAAUUCAAUGAUAUUGAAUGUGAAACUCUUUGGUCCUUUACCUCAUCCCCAAGGUGUCAUACCAAAUGCUCAUGCACAAUUGCAAAAAUUUUCUUCUCCCAGAAGACAUUUUCUUUUUGCCUGGUGAACAUCGCUUGUCGGUUCAUUAAAGCUUUGCUACCAACACGGCAUCUUGUUAUUUUGUUCAAUCAAUGUUUGGACAACAAAAUCUGAAAAGAUAGCUUUUAACUUAGACUCUUCCUUCUUAGAUAUUUCACUCUUUAAACUUGGUGUUUUCUAAACAAUAAUCCUGUUUCAGGUUCCUAUAUUAUUUAGAAACUUUUCAGAGAAAUAUGCAAAACUUCCUUUGUGAAAGUUUUAUUAGUUCAUUAAUCAUUAUUCCAAUGCAACAGAUUUGCAAAAAAAGAAUAUAACGAUGGAUGAAAUAGAAUUGAUUUGAGAGCAAGCUCGAAAUGAAUGAAUUAUCAAGGGUAGCAAGAAUAAAAGAGGAAUUGAUUGGAACACGUAUCUUGAAAAAGAAUGAAGUAUUCCAAGAACAACAACAAAUUCAAUAUAUAAAUAGUAUGAAGGUUAGGUGCCCCAGAUAUCGCAGCUUGAACUUCUCUGUACAAACUUUCUGAAGACUUUCCUGAGUUUGAUAUAUGUUUAGGAGAUCUACAGGACUCUGUUGAUGCCCCAAGAUGUCGCCUUACCCUUUCAGGUAUAACAAGAUCACCACAUGCCCCAAUUUGAUCACUUCAUGGCCCAUUCUGAUCAAUAUUUGAGCCGCCCUUCGGGUUUUCAACUCAAAUCCCCUUUGGCCUAAGGUGCCCUUUGCGGGUUUUCCCCUUAGCCUCUCCAUUUUUACUUUUUCAUUUUUUUCAUUUUUCAUUUUUCAUUUUUUCAUUUUUUUUGACUCAAAGUGCCCUUUGCAGGUUUUCACCUUGGUCCUUCUUCCUUCUGGAUCCGAGUUUAUAAGAUUGGCAAUCUCACUCAGGAUCAGUGCUCCUCUAAAAAUGGUCUUCUUUACAACAUAGGGACUUUCCUAGUUCGGCAUUCAUUUCCCUUUAGAAUCCUUUCGUUAAGGAAGAAUCUUUUCAACAUCCAGCCCUCUUGUGGAAUUCUCUGAGACGAGCAUGUUUAUUAUGGGCUUAUAUUAUUUAUUUAUGGUACAUUCGACCUUGAUGAAUAGCUUUUAAUUUCUUUUCCUAGGGCCAACUGAUCACAUCGCGAUUAGAUCCUUCUAACAAGCAAUGAGGGGAUUUUAAUGGGUAAAACUACCUUAAUCCUGUAAACCAAAAAGAGAGGUGUUGCCCCAGUAUAGAUGUUCGACAAAAAAUGAGGGCAAAUGGUAUUUUCUCAUGCCAAUCCUUGUUCACCUCUAGGUAAUUUGGUGACAAAAUGUGGUGUCUGCUUCUGAAUUGAUUUCAGACCUCAAUUAUCGUGUAUUUUCCAAUACUAUCCUCUCUGAAAUUCUGUAUUGGUAUAGGAUGACCUUGAUCUAUGAAGUAGCCUCUCAAAAAAUGAAGCAAUUCCCAUUAGAAGUCUUCGAUAAUGGUGAUGUUCAUGCCCCUUUCGCUCAAAAUUUUGAGUCGCCCUUUUUCGGGUUUUCAACUCAGAUCCGCCUUUGGUCAAAGCGCCCUUUGCGGGUUUUCGCCUUGACCUCUCCUUUUUCUUUUUCUUUUUCUUUUUUCUUCUUUCUUUUUCUCCUAUUUUUGACUUUGAUUUUUUUUUAUUUUUGAUUUUUUGAUUUUGAUUUUUUAUUUUUGAUUUUUUGAUUUUUUUGAUUUUGAUUUUUGAUUUUAUUUUUUUUAAUUUUUUUGAUUCUGAACUCAUGAGAUCGGGCAAGUCCUGGUCAUGCUUUUCGACUAGAAUCACUGUUAUUCUAAAGUCUUCCACAUAAGAUCUUUCACCUUCAUCGUGUAUGUGAAAAACCUUCUUUGGUACCAGAUUUCUUUCAUAGAACCCUUUUGGGACGCAACUACGACAGAAAACUUUGGAUCUUCCUCUUUAAUCCGGACAAAAUCCAACAUCUUGAAGGGAUGGAAACUCGACUUCAAAUGGGCAAAACUAUGCUGACUCAACGAGAGAGGCAUUGCCCCGGCAAAGAAUUGCAUCGUUCGUACUGCGAAAUUCUGACAUCGUGCUGUUGUGCAAGUUUUAUUAUAAGAAUCGAGGCAUAACCUGGUAUGAUCAUACAAAGACAUCUUUGAACUCUAGAGGUAACUCAACAAUGUCUUGCUUCGUUUCUGUGGUCAGGUCAAUUCUAGUCUUCAUCAAGCUCACAAUUUCUAAUGACUCCUUAAGAGGUAGGAUCUGUUUAUCCUCUUGUUCUAUCAUCCUCAACAAGUCCGGGGAUAGGCUACAAUCUAUGUCAUCUUCAAAGUCGUGAGAUCAUUCUAAACACGUCUCGCUCAAAAAGAGAUUCUAAGUCUGUAGCAGUGUCAUUCAUGUCGUUGAUAUCCAGGGCCCUACUGUAGGUACAAAAGAAUAUACAAAGAAUGUAUGAAUUUAAGAAUAAUUAUCUGCACAGUAUGAUUAUGAAUGAAAAAGAAAAAAAAUGAUUUGGAUGAAAGAAUAAAAGAAUAAUUAUUCAAGAAGUGAAAGAAUAUUGGUUCAAAAGAUCGCAAAGAUGCAUUCCAUAAUGACGUUCAGACAUAAACCUAUUUCACAAAAGACUUCUUGUUGUUCUAGGCUGAAAGCAACAAGUGUGUUUUGAAUAUUACUCUGAGUAAGCUCUAAAUACUACAGGGGUUUCUUUAGAACACUCCCAAGUUUAUAAGGGCGAACAUCUAACAAGAUCUCUUCUCCUGUUGCUUCUUCGUAUUCGGCACUGAUAUGAACGUUUCCCAACAUCUCUUCAUUCAUCGCAUUCCUUUAUUAUCCGUAUGAGUGAGUAGUGGGUUUUCUGUACUGAGUGAAUCCUCAAAUUUGACGAUGCCCAUAUUGAUAAACCUUUCGACCAGCUUUUUAAAGGCAGUGUAGUUUUCUAUAGAAUGCCCCGUAAUUCCCGCAUGAUAGUCACAUUGCGCAUUUAUGUCAUACCAUUUGGGAUACGGAGGUUGUAUAGGCUUCAAGUAGAAAGAGGAGACAACAUGUGCGUCAAAUAAACUCUGAUACAGCUCCUGGUACGACAUUGGGAUUGGUGUAAAUUUCGACUUCUUAAUGCUUUACUUAGUGCCAGAUUCAUGUCUUGGGGAUAUCUGAUGGCCAGUAACAACUGACCUUUGCUGACCUGCGGUAAUCGGCUUUGAAUAACCUUCAUUAUGCCUACCCGCAUUGCUCACCUCAUUUUUCCUCUUCCUCGAGACCUUUGAAGUAUUGUUUUGGGAGUUCCAUUCUUGCCCUUUCAGUUUGUCAUGAUCUUCGAAUUGUUUUGAAAACUCUAUCAUUGCCUGUUUUGUUCCCGCUAGAUCAUCAAAGACAGCAGAAUUAGUUAGAUUUCCCCUCAUAUUGGAACCUGAACCUAUCGCGAAAUUUAUCGGUGUCGAGGUAUUGGUCUGGAUGUUGACAGUUACCCUUUGUGGAUAUGUGUUUGGUUGUGCUUGGAUGUCGGUUGGAGUAAAAUCUGAAAGAUAUGCAGGGUUGUGCUUGGAUGUCGGUUGGAGUAAAAUUUGAAAGAUAUGCAGGACCUUCAUUAUCAUUCCCAAAGUGGACCACUGGGUUUUUUCCUUUCUCCAACCUCAUAUCCAACAACUGGGUUAACUGGCUCAUCAGAUUUCUCUGGACUUCUAGCAUCUGAUCAUUCACAUUUUGUUGAAAUUUGGCUAAUUGCUCUAGCAUCUGUAUCUGCAUUUGCUCUAAUCUCUCCAACCUUUGGUCCAUUCCUUAGUUUCUAUUCGGGUACCGCAAAAAUGUUGGUUUUCUAGACUUUUCUGAAAUAAUUUUACCUAAUUAGGGUCACUUCGUGAAAAUCUAAUGCAUAUGAUGCAAUGUAAUGCAAAUGCAUGAAAUGAAUGCCUAAAGAGACGUUGAUUCUGAUUCAAUUACAUUUAGGAAACUUUUCUAGAAAGCAAAUUCCCUUACAUAAAACGGAUACAUGUACGACCUCACCCUCAAUUUCUAAGAAACAACAUCGGUCUUUUUCUUCAUCCGCAUGUUUGAGGUAAUCUCGCCAAUAGAUGCCAUUGCUAGCUCAUUUUCUUGAUCUUGGUCGCGAUCCAUCAUCUGCCCAUCUUCAUAAGGCUCAUCAACUUGUCGAAGGCUUUUGGACAAUCGUCUCGAACCCUUAGGCCAUGAAGUAAAGAUCACGAACUCUUUCAUCGCCCUUCUUGUGUUUCUCAGAAUAUAUUUGGGAAGUCGUAUUGUUUUCCACUUUAUCAAGGAAUCCGUAUUCCAUGACAAGCUUUCUAAUUUAAUAAUCGGACUUGAAUCAAUAUCUCUUUCCUAAGGUGCGGAUGCGAUGCAAUCAUAAUCAAAGCAAAAUAAGAGGGGUUAGUACAAAAAUAAACAAGGAAAACAGAAAGUACCUAAUCGGGUGACUACUAGGGGUUUGGAGUGGCUCUAUCUAGACUAAGUUCCUAAGUCCACUAUAUGAGGUUUGGUUCUAAAGUCAAGGUACCCGAACCAGCAGAUUCCUCGAUCUUCACCCAUUAUAAGCUCACACGGACCGAGUUCGGUUCAGGGGAAUACAUUUCCCUAUGGCCAUGCGGAGAUGAAAAUCUCACGAAGACAUAGGUACGAAUGUAUCCCGGAAGCGAUUCACUAUCCCAUGCGGAGGUGAAAACCUCACGAAGGCGUAGCUUCUCACUCCCACUUAAAAGGUGUGACCAACGGUCAUGCAAUGCAAUGUGCAACAAGAUACCAAAAUUUAAACCAACACAACAAUUAUAAACCACAACAAUGACAAUUAUAACGAAUGAAAUGCAAUGAAAGGAUUAUAUCUUUAAAUCAAGUUUUCAAAUUUCGACAAAAAGACAAAAAGUAAUCAACUCGUGGCUUGACUCACUUAUUUUUUUUUAAAAAAAAACUCCCCAGUGGAGUCGCCAAGCUGUUGACACCAUUUUUUUGGAUGAAAAAUGGGGUUGACUUGGAUUUUGAAAAACGAAAAUGGGAGUCGCCACCAAUCUUUUUUGAUGAGGUGUGAUCGGGUCACCUUUAAAAGCGGUUGUUUUUAAUAAACAAUUUAAUUUUAUUAAAACGAGUUUGGUCUACGAAAUUCAGAAAACGGAUUCGGGAGUCGGUUACGCACGAGGAAGGAUUAGCACCCUCGAUACGCCCAAAAUUGGUACCUAGUUGAUUACUUAAUGUCUUAAUGUCGAAAAUUGAGAACUUUGAAGAAUUUUAAAAAAUACGAUCCUUGUAUUAAAAUAAAAAAAAUAGAAAAGAAGCAUAUUUUACGUUAUUGGAGAAAGAGGAUCAUAUCCAGUAAAUUAGGACACAAUGUCUCGAAUUCCCGAUGCGCGAAUGAAAAAAUGCUUAUUUAAAAGAUAUUUUAUUAUCUCGGGUUUAGAAAAUAAAUCAGGCCCAGUAAGUUAGGGCCCGAUCUUUUCUUAAUUCCCGAGAUCGUUUAAAAACUUGAGUCUGAAAAGACUCACGUGUUUAGAUUUAUUGUGAAAAUCAAAACCCAAUAAGUUAGGGCNNNNNNNNNNNNNNNNNNNNNNNNNNNNNNNNNNNNNNNNNNNNNNNNNNNNNNNNNNNNNNNNNNNNNNNNNNNNNNNNNNNNNNNNNNNNNNNNNNNNNNNNNNNNNNNNNNNNNNNNNNNNNNNNNNNNNNNNNNNNNNNNNNNNNNNNNNNNNNNNNNNNNNNNNNNNNNNNNNNNNNNNNNNNNNNNNNNNNNNNNNNNNNNNNNNNNNNNNNNNNNNNNNNNNNNNNNNNNNNNNNNNNNNNNNNNNNNNNNNNNNNNNNNNNNNNNNNNNNNNNNNNNNNNNNUAAAAAUGAAAAAGAUAUAUAUAUAUAUAAAAAAUAAUGGAAAUAUGAAAAAUAUAUGUAAGUAUAUAUUUAAAAUUAUUAUAUAGAAUACAUGCAUAUACAUACAUAUAUACGUAUGCCAAUUAAAAUAUGUAUAUAUACAUAGAUAUAUAUAAAAAUUAUGAAAUAUGUGUAAGUAUAUAUACAUAUAGGUUUAUAAAAAUAGGAAAUAUGUGCGUGUAUUAUAAAUAUAUACAUGUAUAAAUAUUUUAUAAAAAUAGGUAUGUUUAUAUGUAUAUAUAUAUUACAAAAAAAAGUAUGUGUAUAAGUGUAUGUACAAAAAUGUAUAUAAAAAUACACACAUAUAUAUAUAUAACGAUUAUAAUAAUAGUAAUAAUAAUAAUAAUAAUAUGAAAUUUAUUAGGAAAAUAAACAAAAUAGCAAAAGGAUUAGAUUCAACAUUAAAACGAAAAUCAGGGUUUAAAUCUGAAAAUACAUGAAAUAGUGUUAUAAGGGACUGAAGUAAAAUGCGCCCAAAGUGCAAGGGACCUGCAGGGAAAUAAUCCCCAGUCCUGAAACGCAGCGUUUUAACACACAUGGUCCAAGGACCAAAUCGAAACAUAAACAAAAUUCGCGGGCUGAGAUAAAAAAAUCGGGUUGGCUAUGCUGCAACAGCGGAGGGACUCCUCGCGCAAAUAACCCUUCAAGGUCAAAACACGCGGAUCCUGGCCAAACGGGUCGGGUCGAACCGGCCCCCUCCAAAACGACGCCGUUUUGGCGUCUGGGGGGGCCAAAAUGAAACGGCGCCGUUUUAUUUCAUCCACUUAAACUCAAUUUUUAAGUUUUUUUUUUUUAUAUCCUUCCCCAUUACAGAAAAAGAAAAGCUGAAACCUUUCAAAACCUCCCCAACGAUCGGCCUCCCACCACCAUUCGCACAUCCGCCGCACCGCCACCAGAUCGACGGCCAACGAAGCGCGAUAACGGGUUUUUAAAGCCCCCUGGUGAGUUUCUCUUUUUCUCUUUUUAUUUUCGUUUUAAGAAAUAAAAAUAAAAAUAAGCAAAACGAUAAGAAAUAGGAAAAAAACGAAAGAUUCAAAUCAAAAACCAGGAAAUCACCUUGGUUUUCUUUGCUCUUUAUUUCUUAGUAUUCAUGAAAAAGAAGGGGCAAAGAAAUCGAAAAAAUGGCUUUUUAUAGCCGAGUAUUACAAUCGUUCUUUUUCUUUUUUCAUUUUCUCUGUUGUUUCUUCUUUUUUUGCCCUGGUUGUUGCGUGUUUGGUUUUAGUUUUGCAGGUGCUGCAGGUGCAAGUGGGUGAGGGGACAUGCGGCGCAGUGGCAGUGCUGGCAUGGUAGAGGUUAGGGCGGCGGCAAAGGCUAGGGUUAGGGGCUAGGGUUUUUCUUUUCUUUUUUCUGAAAAUGGGUAUUGGGUUUUGAUAAUUGGGCUAGGUUUGGGUUGUAUUUGGGUUUGGUUUAAUUUGGGCUUAUUGGGCUACUUGGGCUGUUAUUUGGUGAGGCCCGGGCAAAAAUUUGGGCUCUACAUCUAUUAUACUUUUUUUUUAUGAUUUUCUAUCAUUUCUAUUGUUUUUUAUUAACAUUUUAAUGAUUUUAAGUACAAAAUGUCUUCUUGGAACGAGAAUGGGCAGAAAGUCGACUUAUGAGAAUUUCAAGCCUUUAAAGUAAAAAGAAGAGUAAAAACUUUUGUUUUUAUUAGAGGCGAAAUUAGAAAUAUUUUUUAGAAUGCCGAAAUUAAAUUGUAUGUUUUUAUAAUAGUAAAAAUACAAUUUCACCAUUUUAAUAUAUAUAUCUUUAUAAUUUUUAAAUGAUUAAAUCAAUUUUUUUAUCAAUUUUAGGGGGCAAAGUACAAUUUUACCUUAACUAAUUUAAAUUUUAUAAACUUUAAAGGGGCCUAAAUAGAUAUUUUUUUAUUUUAAGGGAGUUCGGACCCCUGCUAGCCCCUGGCUACACCCC